UAAACGACCAAAAAAGAAGUUUAGGUGGUAACGUAGGUUACCACCAUGCUUCAAAGGAUUAAGUCAAUUGACGAUCAACUCACAGAAAUGCCAAUAAUAAUUUAUGUAUUAGAAUCUCCUCUUUCUUUCUCCCCUUUUUUUCUUUUUUUUCAGAACAAACUGUUUAUUUCUCACUUAGCAAUCACAUUGGGAAUCGCGAUGACUAGUGAUUAACAACAUCCUCUUAAGAUAAAAUACAAUAAGAUCUAAUGGUUCACUUUCUGAGACGAAUAAACAGAAGCCGAGAGAUACUCAUCAUAAUAGAAAAGAGAAAUAUUGCAUACUUUGAACACAUCAUGCACAACACAAGACACCAACUACAGUUGAUUAUAAUUGAAGGAAGUAAUCGAAGAAAGAAAAGAAACAAGACGGAAAAACUUUGGAAUAUAAGAUACUGGACAGAGUCCAAACAUGUAGAAGAUCUCCAUAUGGCAAUGAAUGGAGAAGAAAUGGAAAAUGUAGCGCAAAUAUCCGUUAGUAGACAUGUAUGAGAAGAAGAAAAUAUUUCAUGUUUUUUUCUAGCUAUUUCGUGUAAAAUAUAUAUCGCACAUUA